rnacentral:rRNA from 1 species
UACGGGGGGGGCAAGCGUUGUUCGGAAUUACUGGGCGUAAAGGGCCAGUAGGCGGCCAACUAAGUCGGAUGUGAAAUCCCCAGGCUUAACCUGGGAACUGCAUCCGAUACUGGAUGGCUUGAAUUCGGGAGAGGGAUGCAGAAUUCCAGGUGUAGCGGUGAAAUGCGUAGAUAUCUGGAGGAAUACCGGUGGCGAAGGCGGCAUCCUGGACCGAGAUUGACACUGAUGAGCGAAAGCUAGGGGAGCAAACGGG